rnacentral:rRNA from 1 species
GAUGGACGCCGGCGGCGUGCUUAACACAUGCAAGUCGAACGGUGAAGCUCCAGCUUGCUGGAGUGGAUCAGUGGCGAACGGGUGAGUAACACGUGAGCAACCUGCCCCUGACUCUGGGAUAACAGCCGGAAACGGCUGCUAAUACCGGAUAUGCACCAUGAACGCAUGUUCUGUGGUGGGAAAGAUUUUUCGGUUGGGGAUGGGCUCGCGGCCUAUCAGCUUGUUGGUGAGGUAAUGGCUCACCAAGGCGUCGACGGGUAGCCGGCCUGAGAGGGUGACCGGCCACACUGGGACUGAGACACGGCCCAGACUCCUACGGGAGGCAGCAGUGGGGAAUAUUGCACAAUGGGCGAAAGCCUGAUGCAGCAACGCCGCGUGAGGGAUGACGGCCUUCGGGUUGUAAACCUCUUUUAGCAGGGAAGAAGCGAGAGUGACGGUACCUGCAGAAAAAGCGCCGGCUAACUACGUG